GCCUGAUGCAGCGACGCCGCGUGCGGGAUGACGGCCUUCGGGUUGUAAACCGCUUUCAGCAGGGAAGAAGCUUUAUUGUGACGGUACCUGCAGAAGAAGCGCCGGCUAACUACGUGCCAGCAGCCGCGGUAAUACGUAGGGCGCGAGCGUUAUCCGGAAUUAUUGGGCGUAAAGAGCUCGUAGGCGGCUUGUCGCGUCUGCUGUGAAAGCCCGGGGCUUAACCCCGGGUGUGCAGUGGGUACGGGCAGGCUAGAGUGCAGUAGGGGAGACUGGAAUUCCUGGUGUAGCGGUGAAAUGCGCAGAUAUCAGGAGGAACACCGAUGGCGAAGGCAGGUCUCUGGGCUGUUACUGACGCUGAGGAGCGAAAGCAUGGGGAGCGAACAGGAUUAGAUACCCUGGUAGUCCAUGCCGUAAACGUUGGGCACUAGGUGUGGGGGACAUUCCACGUUUUCCGCGCCGUAGCUAACGCAUUAAGUGCCCCGCCUGGGGAGUACGGCCGCAAGGCUAAAACUCAAAGGAAUUGACGGGGGCCCGCACAAGCGGCGGAGCAUGCGGAUUAAUUCGAUGCAACGCGAAGAACCUUACCAAGGCUUGACAUGGACCGGAUCGCUGCAGAGAUGUAGUUUCCCUUCGGGGCUGGUUCACAGGUGGUGCAUGGUUGUCGUCAGCUCGUGUCGUGAGAUGUUGGGU
rnacentral:rRNA from 1 species